ensembl:lncRNA
GGGCAGCGGCAGGAGUUGUGGGGACCCGAAGGACCCAUCACCCGGGAAAGGCUGGUGCCAAGGGGUGCCCCUGCCCAGCCUCUGCAAGGGGGAGGCCAGAGGAGCCAGCAGCCCUCCGUGCCCCCUGCCCGGAACCCUCCCGUGCGGCCGCCCUCCCCAUGGUGGGUCCCGAAUCCCACAGCCCCUCCUCCCAGGCUCCUCCACCCCGCUCCAGGCUCCUCUUGUCCCAGGGCAGGUGUGCACCACUGGUCUCCCGGGUACCCCGCGGUGGGGCUGCAGGUCCUGGGCAAAAGGGCAGGGCAGGAGCCCAUGGCAGGAGUGACUGGGCAGCCCGUUCACGGGACCCACAGCCCAGAGGCGCCGCAGCACCGUCCUGGGACCACGGGAAGGGCCUGCAAGAGCCCUGGAGCGGGCACCCUCAUCCUCCAUCGGGGAUGGCAGCUGUGACUUCCCAGGGACCUGGCGGCAGGGUCACAGGGCAUGUGGGGCCAAGUCACACAGUAUGAAGCGGACCAGUGGCCGUUGUUAAGCGAGUCGUUUGUGGUGUGGAGUGCACUCCCGAGGCUGUGCAUCCACCACCCACUCCAUCCGUCCCGUUUCCAUCUUCCAGACAGAGCCCUCAGCCCCAGGGAAUCCAUCUCACGCCUCUGUGGCUCUCCCUGUUCAGGACGCUUCAUAUAAACAGAAUCGUGGCCCUCAGCCCUCCCAUCGGGCUUGUCGGCUUCUUCCCGUGUCUGAACUCUCUCCACAGAGCCUGUGCGAGACGCCCCGCCCCCACCCCCCGCCUGUGUUCUGUGUGACGGAGGGUCCUGCCUGCCGGUGCGGGGCAGUGAGGCCAGCGGCCCCCACACAGGUCAGACGGAUGCCUGUGGUCAGGAAGUCCCCUGGGACCCUGGGGGCGGAGGCCUGGCAUCUGAAAGGGUGCUCAGCAGUGGGGGCCAUGGUGUGAUCUGCCCUCCCCCUUUCAGCCAGCCUCGGGGGCUUGUCACUGUGGAGGGCAGGUCUGCUAACCCCCGAGUACCCCACCAAGGUCGCGAAAAUAGGGGGGCUCCUGGACCCAGCUGGGGGCCUCGGGGACCCACUCCAUGGAGCCCUUGGCUCCGACCUGUGAGUGUCCAGCCCUGCUCAGGGAGACCCCCUCACCUGGCAGGCAGAGGGGCCCUAAUGGUGGGGGUCCAGUCUCCGGAUCCAGAGUCCCAGAGACGUCCACUCACCCAGGGCCAACAGCUGACCUGAGGUCAGGUUGUGACAGCCUUGGCUGGGAUGGAGCCUGCACCCUCUGCAGACCCAGAGCCCAUCACACCUGACCCUUCCGAGGCUGGGUUCCCCUCACCCCAUCAGUCCUUGGCAGAUGGUCCCAAGGUCUCACGGCACUGAGCCCAUCUCCCCCAAAUGUCUGGGGUCCCUGUGUGGUCAGGACCGUGGGGCCUUUGCACUAGCAACCACUGCCGGCACCCACAAGGCAACCCCCUGGCUCGCCAGAGCUUGCUCUGUGCUCUGACACCAAGCGGCCCCUCGUCCUGCGCCAGGCCCUCAAUGUGGGUUUGCUGGGUCAACCAUGGGCCCGGGGGAAGGGAGACGCACCCUGGAGUCCCCGGAACAGCCUCCCUGGCUGGCUCAGACUCUCAGCCAUUCUCACUGCAGCUUGGAGGUCUCAGGCUGCCCAGGUCCUCAUCUGGGCAGGAAGGUUUGGGAGAACGGAGGCUUUGGAGCUUUAGAUCAGCAACGCACAAGAAUACCACAGACGGUGGCAGCUGGCCCACGGUGGCAGAAAAAAAAGCUCCCUUGUCAAAACAGUGUGGCAGCAGCACAGAGACCUAGAGAAGGGCGGGGCACAGUAACCACCUGAGAAAUUGUCCCACGCGUGUGGCCACAUACCUUCCAACGACAACAACCCGAGAAAUCGCCCCACACGCGGCCAGGUACCUUCCGACGACAACAACCCAAGAAAUCGCCCCACACGCGGCCAGGUACCUUCCGACGAGAAAUCGCCCCACGUGCACGGGCUUCGAGACCAUUCAACGGGAAGACGAUGGUCUUUUCAGCAAAUGGUGCUGGGAAAGCGUUAUCUCCACAUGCAAAAUAAUGAAUGAAGCUGGCCCCUUACCUAACAGCAUACACAAAACUUAACCCAAAAAACAGGAUGAAACACCGAAACGUAGGACCUAAAACUGUAAGACUCAGAAUAAAACCGGGGAAAAUCUUUAUGACAUUGGAUUUGGCAGUGAUUUCUUGGCUAGGACACCAACAGCACCGACAACAAAACAGAAAAUAAAUUGGACUUCAUCAAAAUUUGACAUUUCUGGCCGGGUGCGGUGGCUCACGCAUGUAAAUCCCAGCACUUUGGGAGGCCGAGGCGGGUGCAUCACCUGAGGUCAGGAGUUCGAGACCAGCCUGGGCAACAUGGUGAAACCCCAUCUCUACCAAAAAUACAAAAUUAGCCUGGCGUGGCGGGCACCUGUAAUCCCAGCCACUCGGGAGGCUGAGGCAGGAGAAUCGCUUGAACCCGGGAGGCAGAGGUUGCAGUGAGUUGAGACCACACCACUGCACUCCAGCCUGGCCGAUAGAGUAAGAUUCUAUCUUUAAAAAAAAAAAAAAAA